rnacentral:rRNA from 1 species
GUCUAUGGCCAUACCACCCUGAACGCGCCCGAUCUCGCCUGAUCUCGGAAGCUAAGCAGGGUUGGGCCUGGUUAGUACUUGGAUGAGAUUAUAGAUU